rnacentral:misc_RNA from 1 species
CGCACAUUGCGCCCGCUAGUAUUCUGGCGGGCAUGCCUGUUCGAGCGUCAUUUCAACCCUCAAGCGCUGCCGCUUGGUGUUGGAGGCCAGCCGUCCCUCAGCGGGGCUGCCUCCCAAACUCAGUGGCGGUCACGCCGUAGCUUCCUUCGCGUAGUAACCAAACCUCGCCCUGGGACUCGGUGCGGCCACGCCGUAAAACCCCCAACCCAUCAAAGGUUGACCUCGAAUCAGGUAGGAAUACCCGCUGAACUUAA